UAAAUGUUAGCUAUUGGGUUACAAAUGUUCUAAAACCGGAGUUAAUGCAUAAAAUCAAUAUGGCUAUUAACUCAAGAUGGCUAAUUUUUAUGAUUGAGUGAGAACAAAGUAAUAAAAGAGGGUUAAUUAGGCAUUUUGGCGUCAGUUGAAAAGAAAAGUGCAUGACAUUAUAUCUGAGAGAUGUGUAUUUAAAUUUGAAUUGCAAAGUAAUAAUAAGGAAGAGAAAAUUCCAGUGGGUGUUUUGUGUGUCGACAUAAGUCGUUUUGCUGUUUUAAUCGAGACUGUGAGAAAUAAAUAAAGAUACCAAAUAAGAUAAAAUAAAGCCUCCUGGACGAGAGGAGGCGAAAUUUUUGUUGGUGCAAGUGGCUGGGUUAAGGCUAAAGUGAAUUCCCCCCGAUUCAGAAACACACAUUGAACGGUGAUUACCGCAAACGCCACCGUUUCAUCUGGUGGUUAUAAAGGUAGGCCGCUUUUUAGUUUAUUGUGCCCAAAAGAGGGCGAGAGAGGAAAUUCCGUCCGUUGUUGUCCAGACCGAGAGGUUUGGUUGGAUGAAAAAUCGUUGGUCAACGUUAAUCCAGAGGUGCACAAUUGUUGCCAUCAGGCUAUCCAAAUUAGGGGAACUAUCCCAGUUAUCUCUGGAAAGCGGAAUCUUUGCUUGUAUUCGGCCGUACACUUUUGUUUUGGUGAUGGCAAAAGGUACCACCAGUUGAACACCUCCAACGACUUUGAAUUUGAAAUUAUAUGAAGUCACGCACACAUACUAACCUUACUUUGAAAAGGCGAAUUCGACUGAUGACGAAACGUUUUAUUCUCCUCCCGAAAUAGAUGAUACCGAAAGAUUAAAACCUUGGGGUUAUAAUGCAAUAGUAAUCAAACUUUUCAUUACCUUUUUUUUUGUAUGUGGAUAUUGACAUGAUUAUUAUAUUUUGAUUUUUUAACUACCUUCUACUUUAUUUUUACCAUCAUAUUUAUUUCUUACAUUAUUAUUUAUUGA